GACGAACGCUGGCGGCGUGCUUAACACAUGCAAGUCGAACGGUGAAGCGCCUUCCUUUUUGGUGGGUGUGGAUGAGUGGCGAACGGGUGAGUAACACGUGAGUAACCUGCCCCCUUCUUCUGGAUAACCGCAUGAAAGUGUGGCUAAUACGGGAUAUUCUGUGUCUGUCGCAUGAUGGGUCUUUGAAAGAUAUUGUUUCGGUGUGGGAUGGGCUCGCGGCCUAUCAGCUUGUUGGUGGGGUGAUGGCCUACCAAGGCGGUGACGGGUAGCCGGCCUGAGAGGGUGGACGGUCACACUGGGACUGGGACACGGCCCAGACUCCUACGGGAGGCAGCAGUGGGGAAUAUUGCACAAUGGGAGCAAGCCUGAUGCAGCGACGCCGCGUGAGGGAUGGAGGCCUUCGGGUUGUGAACCUCUUUCGCCAGUGAAGCAGGCCUGCCUCGUUUGUGGGUGGGUUGACGGUAGCUGGAUAAGAAGCGCCGGCUAACUACGUG
rnacentral:rRNA from 1 species